rnacentral:rRNA from 1 species
UUACUGAGUGAGGGCCCUCUGGGUCCAACCUCCCACCCGUGUUUAUUGUACCUUGUUGCUUCGGUGCGCCCGCCUCACGGCCGCCGGGGGGCUUCUGCCCCCGGGUCCGCGCGCACCGGAGACACUAUUGAACUCUGUCUGAAGAUUGCAGUCUGAGCAUAAACUAAAUAAGUUAAAACUUUCAACAACGGAUCUCUUGGUUCCGGCAUCGAUGAAGAACGCAGCGAAAUGCGAUAACUAAUGUGAAUUGCAGAAUUCAGUGAAUCAUCGAGUCUUUGAACGCACAUUGCGCCCCCUGGUAUUCCGGGGGGCAUGCCUGUCCGAGCGUCAUUGCUGCCCUCAAGCACGGCUUGUGUGUUGGGCUCCGUCCCCCCGGGGACGGGUCCGAAAGGCAGCGGCGGCACCGAGUCCGGUCCUCGAGCGUAUGGGGCUUUGUCACCCGCUCUGUAGGCCCGGCCGGCGCCAGCCGACAACCAAUCAUCCUUUUUUCAGGUUGACCUCGGAUCAGGUAGGGAUACCCGCUGAACUUAAGCAUAUCAAUAAGCGGAGGAAAAGAAACCAACAGGGAUUACCUCAGUAACGGCGAGUGAAGCGGUAAGAGCUCAAAUUUGAAAGCUGGCUCCUUCGGGGUCCGCAUUGUAAUUUGCAGAGGAUGUUUCGGGAGCAGCCCCCAUCUAAGUGUCCUGGAACGGACCGUCAUAGAGGGUGAGAAUCCGUAU